UACAGAGGGUGCGAGCGUUAAUCGGAAUUACUGGGCGUAAAGCGUGCGUAGACGGUUCUGUAAGUCGGAUGUGAAAUCCCCGGGCUCAACCUGGGAAUUGCAUUCGAGACUGCAAAGCUUGGGUGCGGAAGAGGGAAGCGGAAUUUCCGGUGUAGCGGUGAAAUGCGUAGAUAUCGGGAAGAACACCCGUGGCGAAGGCGGCUCUCUGGGACGGUACUGACGCUGAGACGCGAAAGCGUGGGGAGCGAACAGG
rnacentral:rRNA from 1 species